rnacentral:rRNA from 1 species
GUCUACGGCCAUACUACCCUGAACGCGCCUGAUCGCAUCUCAUCUAGGAAGCUAAGCAGGGUUGGGCCUGAUUAGUACUUAGAUGGGAGACAGUACACGGCUGCUGAAACA